GAUGAACGCUGGCGGCGUGCCUAAUACAUGCAAGUCGAGCGAACAGACGAGGAGCUUGCUCCUCUGACGUUAGCGGCGGACGGGUGAGUAACACGUGGAUAACCUACCUAUAAGACUGGGAUAACUUCGGGAAACCGGAGCUAAUACCGGAUAAUAUAUUGAACCGCAUGGUUCAAUAGUGAAAGACGGUUUUGCUGUCACUUAUAGAUGGAUCCGCGCCGCAUUAGCUAGUUGGUAAGGUAACGGCUUACCAAGGCAACGAUGCGUAGCCGACCUGGGAGGGUGAUCGGCCCAACGGGAACUGAGACACGGCCCAAACUCCAACGGGAGGCAGCAGUGGGGAAUUUUCCGCAAGGGGCGAAAGCCUGACGGAGCAACCCCGGGUGGGUGAUGAAGGUCUUCGGAUCGUAAAACUCUUUUUUUGGGGAAGAAAAAAUGUGUAAGGAAUUAUGCACGUCUUGACGGUACCAAUGCAAAAAGCCACGGCUAACUACGU
rnacentral:rRNA from 1 species